GACAGAGGGUGCAAACGUUGUUCGGAAUUACUGGGCGUAAAGCGCGUGUAGACUGCUUCGCAAGUCGGGUGUGAAAGCCCUGGGCUCAACCUAGGAAGUGCACUCGAAACUGCGAAGCUUGAGUCCUGGAGAGGAAGGCGGAAUUCUCGGUGUAGAGGUGAAAUUCGUAGAUAUCGAGAGGAACACCGGUGGCGAAGGCGGCCUUCUGGACAGUGACUGACGCUGAGACGCGAAAGCGUGGGGAGCAAACAGG
rnacentral:rRNA from 1 species